rnacentral:rRNA from 1 species
GAUGAACGCUGGCGGCGUGCUUAACACAUGCAAGUCGAGCGGACGGACGCGAAGUUUGUUUGGUUCUCGUUUGCCGCGCACGUGUGAGUCACAUGUGGAUACUCCCCCUAUCUGACUGGUAUAACUUCGGGACUCCGGCUCUUACCCCGUAUAAUCUCUUGAACCGCAUGGUUCAAAAGUGAAAUUCGGUCUUGCUGUCACUUCUAGAUGGAUCCGCGCUGCAUUAGCGAAUUGGUAAGGUAACGGCUUACCAAGGCAACGAUGCAUAGCCGACCUGAGAGAGUGGUCGGCCACACUGGAAGUGAGACACGGUCCAGACGCCUACGGGAGGCAGCAGUCGGGAAUGGUCCGCAGUGGGCGGAAGCCUGACGGAGCGGCGCCGCGUGAGUGAUGAAGGUCUUCGGAGCGUAAAACUCUGUUAUUGGGGAAGAACAUAUGUGUAAGGAACUGUGCACAUCUUGACGGUACCUGGUCAGGAAGCAACGGCUAACUACGUG